rnacentral:rRNA from 1 species
UACGUAGGGACCGAGCGUUGUCCGGAUUCAUUGGGCGUAAAGAGCUCGUAGGCGGCCACUCAAGUCGAAUGUGAAACCUCGAGGCUUAACCUCGAGCCUGCAUUCGAUACUGGGCGGCUAGAGUCUGGUAGGGGGAUCUGGAAUUCCUGGUGUAGCGGUGGAAUGCGCAGAUAUCAGGAAGAACACCUAUGGCGAAGGCAGCUCUCUGGGACGGUACUGACGCUGAGACGCGAAAGCGUGGGGAGCGAACAGG